rnacentral:rRNA from 1 species
GAUGAACGCUGGCGGCGUGCCUAAUACAUGCAAGUCGAGCGAACAGAUGAGGAGCUUGCUCCUCUGCCGUUAGCUGCGGAAGGGUGAGUAACACGUGGAUAACCUACCUAUAAGACUGGGAUAACUUCGGGAAACCGGCGCUAAUACCGGAUAAUAUAUUGAACCGCAUGGUUCAAUAGUGAAAGACGGUUUUGCUGUCACUUAUAGAUGGAUCCGCGCCGCAUUAGCUAGUUGGUAAGGUAACGGCUUACCAAGGCAACGAUGCGUAGCCGACCUGAGAGGGUGAUCGGGCACACGGGAACUGAGACACGGUCCAGAAUCCUAAGGGAGGCAGCAGGAGGGAAUGUUGCGAAAUGGGCGAAAGCCUGAAGGAGAAACGCAGCGUGAGUGAUGAAGGUCUUCGGAACGUAAAACUCUGUGAAUAGGGAAGAACAAAUGUGUAAGUAACUAUGCACGUCUUGACGGUACCUAAUCAGAAAGCCACGGCUAACUACGUG